CUGGAGACUGCAUUUCCACAGAAUAAGUACAGCACAGGCAGCAGCCAUGCAAGCUUCCCACAGUGACCUGCCAAUGGCCGUCAUCCUUAAACUGGUGGGAAUAUUCUGAGGGAGGGAAAAAUAACUCAUUCAUGCCUUGUCCUUU
ensembl:misc_RNA